rnacentral:rRNA from 1 species
UGAGGAAUAUUGGUCAAUGGGCGGGAGCCUGAACCAGCCAAGCCGCGUGAGGGAGGAAGGCCCUAUGGGUCGUAAACCUCUUUUGUCAGGGAACAAAAGCGAGUAUGUAUACUAGUCUGAGUGUACCUGAAGAAAAAGCAUCGGCUAACUCCGUGCCAGCAGCCGCGGUAAUACGGAGGAUGCGAGCGUUAUCCAGGAUUUAUUGGGGUUUAAAGGGGUGCGUAGGCGGCGGUGCAAGUCAGCGGUAAAAGCCCGGGGCUCAACCCCGGCGAGCCGUUGAAACUGCAGUGCUAGAGAAGCGAGAGGUACGCGGAAUGCGCAGUGUAGCGGUGAAAUGCUUAGAUAUUGCGCAGAACUCCGAUUGCGAAGGCAGCGUACUGGCGCCUGACUGACGCUGAGGCACGAAAGCGUGGGGAUCGAACAGGAUUAGAUACC